UUAGACUCUAGUGGCGAUUGGUGCACACGUGCAUAGUGUGUUCACACUGGACACUGCUACACAGGCAAACGCAAAGUCACGCUGUCUGCUGACUCUGCUUCAAAAUAGUCUUCUUGAUUCACUCACUUUUUUUUUUUUUCUCUUUCAGUCUUGCCCCCCUCAACUUCAGUUAUAGUACAGAACUCUGGGCUGCAAAAAUGGCGACCAAAAAAGGAAAAAGCAAAGGAGUCAUCAUCAAUUUUGCACAUUUUUCAACGAAACAGGACAUCUGUCAGCCUCUGCCUUUUCACUAGCAGAAGCAUAUAAAUACAAUAUCAAACCAGGAAUUCAAGUGAAAGCAUCAUUUUCGAAGGCAAGAAUGGCAUAUAAUGUGAAUUGUAGGCUAGUCCUUAUACAAUUGAAGAAGGAAGAGGUUUGAAUUUUUUUUCUUUUCUUUUUUGGAUCAUCUAUUUUGGAAUGCGUGAAGGUCAAAUUCAUGUUACUGUGUUAUAGAACGAUACCUUGGAAUGGUUUGUGAUCUAGUUACUUGUUUUGGAAUUUAAAAUGUUACAUUGUUUGUAUCAGUUUGCUUAAAAAAUUAAAUAUGAAUAUAUGAUAGCAUUAGAUGCCAAGUCAAGUUGGAGAAAACAAUUGAGUUCCAUAUUUUUCUAAUUACAUAUAUGCAAAAUAACUAAUAAAUGAUUUUUUGUGUGCAUGUGUUGUUCCAGUUUUUUUUCCUAGUCUAUAUCUGUAUAUAAUUCUUACUUGAUUUUGAAAUAUGACUUCCUAUUGCCUAAUCCAGGUUCACAAGUUGUGCUUGGGAAGUUGAUGGUUUCAAUGGGAGAGAGAAAAGGUGAUGCCAUUUUCAAACUUAAAAAUAAAGUUGAAGUUUGUCAGGAUGCAAUCUUGAAACUGAUUAUAGCUGAAUGCAUUUGACAGUUUAGCUCUGCUACACCCCCAUCAGACCUUACAUCUUAUUCCUAGCUUGUAGUUGAUCUACAAAAAUAAUUGAAUUUCUCAUAUUACAAAUCUUUUACAUCUUUCUAAUUCUCUGUUACUCUUCUAUCACUUUCUGUGACGAAGUCAAAAAAAAAAAAAAAAUCUAAAGUAA